CAGGAAUAGGUAUGUACCUACCAAAAGGACUCUUGUGCUUCAGAGAAAUAGAAAAUCUUUUCAACUUUCACCAGCAUUCCGCUUUUAAUGGUGUUCCUAAAUACACAGACCGCCCCGGUACAGAGGGGAUAUUAAAGUUCAAAGAGACAGAGAAAUCAGGUUGAAGAUGGAAGUUUGUUUUUGUGGACUAAGAAAAGACUUCCAGUCUCAAGAAAGACUUGGACGAUGGGCCAUCUGAUGUGCGCUACGUGUUGUCAAGUUUAUUUACAAACUUCUCCUCCAACAUUACAGACCAAAGAGGUUAUCUGAAACCUGAAUGAUAACUGCAAUGUAUUUUCAGGAUGUCCAGGAUAAUAAUAUUGGGUAGAAGAGUUAAGAGUGGACACCCUAAUUUUCUUUCCUAUCCCAGGGAUGAAGUAUUCAAUUUUUCAUCAAAAGUAUGAUGGUAGGUGGAGUUUUUCAUCCAUGCCUUUUAUUUGAUUGAAAGACUUUUUUUUAAAUUCCUAGUUUGCGGAGAGAUUUUAUCAUAAGUGGUCAUUGGCAAUAUAUAUAUUUUAAAUUAUUGCCUCUCAUUUCUUGUAUGGGGUGAUCUCAGCUUCCAUUGUUCCAGUAAUCUGUCUCUUUCAUGUGGAUUUGCCUCUGAUUGAGUCCCUAAUCUUCCUGCUUUCACCAAUAUUAGCAGAGCCUAAAAAAAUUCCAAGUUUUUUGGACAUAAACAGCUGUUAAGCUAAAUGUUGCCCACUCUGAAGAGUUAUUUUUUAACACUAGAUAUCAGACUUCACACUGCUUAUUGAACAACUUGGUGUUAAUCAUCUACAAGUUCUUUUACUCCAUACAGUUUUCAUUCUUUCACAGGAAUAUAACUGAAAUUUAAUAAAAUAUAGUAGUGUUUCACAUUAUCUGAACCAAAAUCCAAUAAUCAGGUUCAAAGUAAAGGAAAUUAGUUCAUUCUAACCUGUUGUUCAGGUUCAUUCUCUUUUGUAAGUGUUAACAGGUAAUAUGUAUAUUUAGUCUUAUAAUAGGACUUAUUUUAUGCUUUAUCCAUUUUUACUUUUGAAAUGUAUAUGAAAAACAAGGACAUUAAAUAAAAAACCUGUGAUUUUAAAUUUGUAAGAAAUACCAACAAGACCUUAUGACAUAUUUGUUUUCUCUUAAAAGAAGAUACAUUUUCUAGCUCUGUCUGCUGAAAAUAAUGACAACUCUAUCACAAUUAGUAGCCAUAGGAUCCAGUGUGUAGACUAAAACACAAUUUUCCACUAAAGCAAUUCAGGGCUUCUUGCAGAAAUUGCUGCUUCCAAGAUUGGAGUAGGAAAUUUAAAAGAUGAGCUUUUAUCUGCUUUCAACUUGAAGGACUCCUAUAGGCCUGAGAUGGGAUGAUUUGAACAUAAAUGUAAUCAUGCAGAAAUGGCCUGAAAUCCAAUAUUGAUGUUUAAAAUGUUUAUGUGUUAUAAUUACAUAUUUUUUAAAAAGCAAAACACUCAUUAAUAAAAUUUCAAUAUGGCUAGAUUACUAAUUCAUUAUUCUUAAAAAUUAUACUCAAAGGAGAAGAAUCCAACAUUUACUCUCCGUUUCCUAUAUAAACUAUAUUCAAAUAAUUGCUUCAUUAUAGAUUAUCUGAUUAAUGUAAAUAGAAGAAAUGAUAGGAAAAGAAAAUUAUGGUUUGAUAACCCAUAAGGAACGAUGGAUUUGGGCAAUGAUUAUCCAUGGCUGUCACAAACUUUAAGUGACGUGUUGAUGAGGAAUUUUAUAACAGAGGGAUAAUGGUGACCACACCUGACCGAUCAAUCAUUAACACCACAGAAAGAAAGGCAAUCAGAUAUUUAAUGUCUCCUGAUAUGAUAUGAUAAGAAGUACACAUGUUCUUUCCAAACAACUUGAACUGGUUCAUGAUUAAGCUGCUAGACCUAGUUACCAUUUAUAAGAAGUCAGAGGAUAGAGUAAUAUGUUAAAUGGCACCACAAGGAUAUCAAAUAUGGAAAGUAGGAAAACUUACAGGAGAACUGACCUCUGACCUGCUUUCUUUUUCUUUUUUUUUUUUUUUGUCCUUUUUUUAAGGCUGCACCUGCGGCAUAUGGAGGUUCCCAGGCUAGGGGUAUUGAAUUGGAGCUGUAGUUGCUGGCCUACACCACAGCCAUAGCAACAUGGGAUCAGAGCCACGUCUGCAACCUACACCACAGCUCACGGCAACACUGGAUCCUUAAUCCACUGAGCAAGGCCAGGAAUCAAACUUGCAUCUUCAUGGAUACUAGUUAGUUUCUGCUGAGCCACGAUGGGAACUCCUGACCUGCUUUCUUUAAUAAAUAAAUAGUAAGAAAAAACAAGAGGUGAAGUAAAAAAUGAGGGGAAGGAAGGGAAACUUAAUGGAUAUAUCGACCAAUACAAUGUGUGGAUAUUGUUUGGAUUGUGACAAAAGUCAACUGUGAAAAGACAUGUCUUUGAGACAAUCUGAGAAAUUUAAACACUGAGUAGACAUUGACAAUAUUAAGUAAUUAUUGAUAUUUUAUUAAUUAGGAUAAAGACAUUGCACUUAUUUAUUGUGUCAGAGGUUAAACACUGAAGCAGUUUUGGAUAAAAUAUGAUAUCUUGAAUUUGCUUUGGAAUGUUCCAGUAUGUAAUGGAGGUAGUGAAUAAAAUGUGUGGGAGGCAUAUAGGGUGAAACUAUCAUUUGCCAUAAAAACUAGAACACCUUUGAGUCAAGGGGGUGCUAUUAAUAGUUGUUCAGAUUAAAAACAAGCAUAAGCAGUCUUGGCCCUUCAGGCAGGUCUUCUCAGGACCAUGGAAUGCAAAGCUCUGGUCUGGACACGGACAUUCAAGUUCUCAUGGGAAAGUUCAAGAGGCAGUGCUCCCACAGAGUGCAUUUUGUUUCAGCAGGUGAGAGCUGCCCAGGUGUGAUGAGAUGGUGUCUGACCAAGGAGAGGCUAUGCAUGGUUUCUAGGCUGUUCUGAAUUUAAUCUUGCUUCCUGCCUCCUGAGCUGAAGUAGAAACUCCUUAUCUUAGUGAAGAGGCCUCCUUAAGUAGGCCCCACCAAUAGCAAUGACUUCAUGCUCACCUCAGGCCAAUGGGAAUCUAAUCUUGGCUAUUGUCCUUUUACUUCAAAUAACAUUUCAUAGAAUAUAUGACAGGAUAGCAGCUAAGGAAAGCUGCUGCCUAGUCCACUAAAGGGGCAGGAAAGACAGGGAAGCACUGAAGUGUCUGCAGGCUUGUCUAUAAUAUGAAGUACCACAUGGUAGCCAGGCGCUAUCUCAUUCAGUUUGUAUUUAUUUCACAAAUAUUUACUGAGCCUUCACUACAUGCCAGAUUCUGAGCUAGGCUAUGAGAACCAAGAUAAGAGAAUCAGUACCUGAUCUGAGUUCUAAUGGGGCAGAUAGGCAAAUGCAGACUAGUUCCUGCCAGGAGCAUAAAUGUGGAGACACAUAGUUCAUUGAUUCAUCCAAACAACUAUGUACAGUGAGCAUUAUUUUGGACACAGGAGAAACGAUACUGGGCAAGAUAAUCACUCCCUUUCUCCUGAGAAAGAUCAUCAUCAGGCUUGAGUGGCCAGGAAGGGCUUCACACAGGUAAGCAAAUGCUGAGCAGAGUCUUGGAGGAGAAAACCUGAGAGAGGGAAUAAGGGCUGGGUAUUUCAAGCAGGGAGAACCGCAGAGGCCAAGGAACAGAGGUAGAAAAAAGCCAAUGCAAAUGUCAGAAGGAGAAAAGCUAAAUUCUCAACCUUGGGUGGAGCCCAUCCUUUUAGCUAAUAGCCAAAUGUGCCAAUCGAUUGUUUUAAGGGGUGAAUAUCCAUGGACAUCAACUUCUCUCAUUACACUGAGUGCAGGCUCAGCUUUCAUCUCUGCUGAAGCUCACAUCCAACUCUUGCAGCUCCCACAGUCUGGGAAAAGAGUUAGGAAGAAUAAAACAUGCCCAGGCAGAGCUGGACUUUUCCAUCAUGUUGGCCCAAGCCCUUCAGCUGGCAUUGUGUCCAGGGAUUUUUCUCCAGACUGUUAUUGGGCAUCAGGGAAAUCUAAACAUCUUUAUUGGAGAAGAAUUCUAACUAAUGAAAUAGAAUGACUGCCAAUAGCACAGUCUUAGGUACCAAAACUCAUCCAAAAUUACCAAGGGACUCCCUAUCUGGGUUUCCAGUUUUUAAAAUAUUGUUUAAGCCAUAGCUAUUAAAGUUUGGAGUUGGGUAGAAGGGGUGGGGCUUGGGAUUUAUGGCUAACUCUGUAGGUCACUAGGGCUGACAGGCACAGAGUAAGUGGUCCCACUAGAAUGCAUUACUACCCCACAUUACUUCUCCUAUGACUUGUUUUUCUAUCAUUUGUUCCCCAAGCUCCAACCCAUGGGCUAGCUGCCAAACUGGAAACAGUAGAGCAAGUGGCAUAAAAAUGACAUUUCAGCCUAUGGCAUGGACUUAGGGAAUACAUAACAAUUUGCAUGAAUUUAUAUUUUCAGGUCAGAUUUUUAAAUCUUGAAAUUGUAGAAAAAAACUACAGGCAUGACCUUAGAGCAAAGUUUUUUUUUCUCUUAUCACUGAGGAAUCAUAAAGAAUGGGACAAGUUCCAGGUUAUGGUCUGACAUGUAAAAAACUCAUCUCUACCAUCCUCACAACAAGCAAAAAGCUAAAGACACAAAACCAAAACUUCUUUGAUUCAUCAGGGAAUAGAGAUCAUAGGGCAAAAUGAUGCCUCCAAAAUUGUUGAAAGAGUGGAAUACAAAGAAUAACUGGAGAUAGAAGCUGUCAGAGUCAGGAACGAGGAUCCUGCAUAGUAACAGGAGGAUUUUAGCUAAAAUAAACCCAAAGAUAAUAGGGAAUACAAAAACAAGGACACCAGAAGAAACUGAAGCCUUAGACACCUAUAGCUAUAGCAGAGUAAACACAACUCCUAAUCAGAUGAAAAUAAAUCCUCAUGAUAAAGACUUACUAACCUCAAUUUCUAUUAGCCAAUGUGUAUUGCUUUACUUUCAACAAGAAAUGGCAAGGCAUGCCUAAAGGAAGAAAGAAGACAAUAUGAACAGAUAAAGCAAGCAACAGAAUCAGACUCUGUAUGACAUAGAUUUUGGAAUUAUCAGAACAGGAACUUAAAAUAAUAAUGAUUAAUAUGCUAAGGACUCUAAUGGAAGAACUGGACAGCAUGCAAGAACAAAUGGGUAAUAUAAGCAGAGGCUUAGAAACUCUAAGAAAGAAUCCACAGGAAAUUCUAGAAAUCAAAUAUACUCUAGCAGAAAGAGGAAUGCCUUUGGAGUUCCCAUUGUGGCUCAGCAGUAAUGAACCCAAUUAAUGUCCUUAAGGAUGAGGGUUUGAUCCCUGGCCUCUCUCGGUGGGUUAAGGAUAUGAUGUUGCCAUGAGCUGUGGUGUAGCUCACAGAUGCAGCUUGGAUCCCACAUUGCUGUGGCUCUGGUGCUAGUACAGAACCUGUGGCAGGCUGGCAGCUGUAGCUCUGAUUCGAUGCCUAGCCUGGGAACUUCCAUAUGCUGCAGGUGCAGCCUUAAAAACCAAAAAAAAAAAAAAAAAAAAAUAGAAAAAGAAAAAGAAAAGAAAGAGGAAUGCCUUUGAUGAGCUCACCAGUGGACUGGACACAUUUGAGGAAAGAAUAUGUGAUCCUGAAUCAGUGAACAAACGGAAAUUUCCCAAACUGAAAUGCAAAGGGAAAAAAGAAUAAUAAAAAAGGAACAGAAUAUCUAAGAACUGGAACACAAUUACAACAAGUGAAGCACACGCAUAGUGAGAAUAUUAGAAGGA
rnacentral:lncRNA from 1 species